rnacentral:rRNA from 1 species
UACGUAGGGGGCUAGCGUUGCUCGGAAUUACUGGGCGUAAAGCGCACGUAGGCGGCUUUCUAAGUCGGGGGUGAAAUCCUGGAGCUCAACUCCAGAACUGCCUUCGAUACUGGAGAGCUCGAGUCCGGGAGAGGUGAGUGGAACUGCGAGUGUAGAGGUGAAAUUCGUAGAUAUUCGCAAGAACACCAGUGGCGAAGGCGGCUCACUGGCCCGAUACUGACGCUGAGGCACGAAAGCGUGGGGAGCAAACAGG